rnacentral:snoRNA from 1 species
CCCACCCGCCCCCAGAGGUCACUCUCCCCGGGGCUCUGUCCAGGGGGCGCAGGGGAGCACAGGGCUCUGCCCCGUGAUUUACCGUCCCUUUCCACAGCGUUGGAGAGAAAGCCGGGCCUUGAGCCUGCGCCUGCAUAAUUCCUACAACUUCUCAGAGUCCUGUGGACAGUGAGGCCUUGAGCCUGCGCCUGCAUAUUCCUACAACUUCUCAGAGUCCUGUGGACAGUGACUGAGGAGAUAAACCAGGCAGGAAAUGUCU